rnacentral:rRNA from 1 species
AGUAAAAGUCGUAACAAGGUUUCCGUAGGUGAACCUGCGGAAGGAUCAUUAUCGAGUUUUGAACGGGUUGUCUGCUGGCUCGCAAGGGCAUGUGCACGCCUGUCUCAUCCACUCUCAACUUCUGUGCACUUUUCAUAGGCCGGCUUGUGGGUGCGUUCGCGCACUUGUAGGUGUCGGGCUUAUGCUUUAUUACAAACGAUUCAGUUUUAGAAUGUCAUACUUUGCUAUAACGCAAUUUAUAUACAACUUUCAGCAACGGAUCUCUUGGCUCUCGCAUCGAUGAAGAACGCAGCGAAAUGCGAUAAGUAAUGUGAAUUGCAGAAUUCAGUGAAUCAUCGAAUCUUUGAACGCACCUUGCGCUCCUUGGUAUUCCGAGGAGCAUGCCUGUUUGAGUCUCAUGGAAUUCUCAACCUUCAGCUUUAUUGAUGAAGGCUUGGACUUGGAGGUCGUGCCGGCUCUCGUAGUCGGCUCCUCUGAAAUGCAUUAGUGCGAACGUUACCAGCCGCUUCAGCGUGAUAAUUAUCUGCGUUGCUGUGGAGGGUAUUCUAGUGUUCACGCUUCUAACCGUCUUCGGACAAAUUUCUGAACUCUGAGCUCAAAUCAGGUAGGACUACCCGCUGAACUUAAGCAUAUCAAUAAGCGGAGGA